rnacentral:rRNA from 1 species
AUUGAACGCUGGCGGCAGGCUUAACACAUGCAAGUCGAGCGAGCGGCGGACGGGUGUGUAACGUCUGGGAAACUGCCUGAUGGAGGGGGAUAACUACUGGAACCGGUAGCUAAUACCGCAUACUAUUAGAUGUUCCCAGAUGGGAUUAGCUAGUAGGUGGGCUAAUGGCUCACCUGGGCGACGGUCCCUAGCCGGUCUGAGAGGAUGACCACCACGACUGGAGCUGAGACAUGGUCCAGACACCUACGUGAGGCGACAGUGGGGAAUAUGGCACAAUGGGCGCAAGCCUGAUGCAUCCAUGCCGCGUGUGUGAAGAAGGCCGUCGGGUUGUAAAGCACUUUCAGCGAGGAGGCGUUACUCGCAGAAGAAGCACCGGCUAACUCCGGGCCAGCAGCCGCGGUAAUUC